UGCUUAUAAAAACGAGAAAAAAGAGGAUAAAAGGAUAAAGUCACCCUUUUGACUUCAAGAAGAGAGCAGAAGUCUGACCGUCUGAUAAAAAACGUACUUAGCCCACUUAAACCCCCUUUAUUUAAACUGAUAAUAACUUGAACUAGACAAAAAAUAAUAUUUACUCUUGCAGGUUCUUCAUCUUUAUAUAAAAAAAGACCACGAUAUUUUUCACCUAAAGUGCUAUAAAUAUAUUUAAUCACGAAUCAUGCUGACUUAAUUCGACUUAAGAUUAGCUAAGACCUUCAGUCCUCAAAACAUAAUUUUAUCGAUAGAUGAAUACAUUUUCUAGAAGAUUAGCUAGCUUUAAAUGCUUAAUUUAAUUUUAUUGUGCCUAAAAUAAGGUUUGAGCAAAGAAGGUCAGAAAUAAAACGUAAUGAAAUGGA